rnacentral:misc_RNA from 1 species
AAGUCGUAACAAGGUUUCCGUAGGUGAACCUGCGGAAGGAUCAUUAACACGUAUCCCCCCGUGAACCUUCAGUGCGCUCGCACUUUCUUAGAAAAGGUAGCAGACUUCUGCGUAGACUGUGCUUGAGCGUGAGGCAAGUGGCCUGGCAUUCCUCUGCUUGUUGGUGUCUGAAAGUGUCACCAGCUCUGUACGAAUGGCGCAGUCACGAUCGCUAGAGGCCGACACGGCCGGCGACCGGGUCACUGGGCGCGAGCCCCCCUCGUCACCUUUGCAUGAAAACGGGCCUGCGCUUAAUUGUGCGGCCACCAAACUCGAACAACUGUUAACAAUGGAUAUCUUGGUUCUC